rnacentral:snRNA from 1 species
AUCGCUUCUCGGCCUUUUGGCUAAGAUCAAGUGUAGUGUGAAAACCCAAGUAGUAGGUCAUUUCAAUUGUUCUUAAUAUUAUCAAAAUGUUCUCCAAAGGAGUUACACAGAUUUGUACUCUCACUAGUUGCUGCUCUACAGCC